GGUUCAGCACCUGAUUCUGCCGGGUGAGGCGAAUAAAUCACUACGGCGGCGGAGGCAGCGGGGGAGCCAGACCGAGCCCGCCGGACUGGGGCCACUAGGAGAACGGAAAAAUGCCCAGCUUCCAGGUCCACGCGCCCGGCGAAAGCUUCGAGAAAAAAGUAACGCAGUGAGAACAGCGACCGUGUGCCAGAGGAGGGCGCAUUUCCUGAACCGCCUCCCUGCGGCGACAGAGAGGAUCCGCGCAGAUUCCGCUCGCUCUAGGGGCCGGGCCCCGCACUGGGCUGCCCAGGCCCGAGACUUGGAAGAAGGAAAGGAAAGAAGAGAAAGAAUCGCGGGAAGAGGUGGGGCGGUGCAGAAGAAAACAUGAGUGGGUUGAAAAAUGGAAAUGCUGGCCAGAGGGAAAGGAAGUUGCCAGGGCGAAUGGGAGCAUCUCCCCCUUAGGUCUGAGGAGGUUUCUGCUCAGGCAGGGGUGGGAGCGCCUUCUCCCCGUCUCUCAUUUUGAGCCCCUGUGCGCUGGCGCCCCCAGGACGCCAGGCUGGAGACUGAGCCCCCGACAGGGCUGCUGUGUGCGUGUGGUACCCGCGGUGAGGAGAAAGCUUUCCCGCCCAUCAGGCAGCCCCCGAGAUGACUAAUGCUUCCAAAUUUCCCAACCUUGAGACUUCUAGGGCAGUGCACAAUCCAUUCUGUUUCUGCCCCGCUCCUUCCCCUCCCUCCUGCCUUGUCCACUGGCCAGUUCAGCCACAGAAUUGGACCAGAGGAGAGGGAUGGGGAAAGACCUCCAGGAGAGAGGUGAGCAGCCGGGUCAAUUCUUACUUGUGCAGGGAGGCAGGAUGAAACUGAUACCUAAAUCAGAAAUCUUUGGACUGAGGAAAUUGGGAAGACACCGACCAAGCAGGGCAGCUCCACUGGCACCAGUCACUCAAUGAACCUGGGUCUGCUCUGUGAUAGAUUCUAGGGUUAUAGAGGUAAAUCAGGCACUGGCCCUGCUUUCAAGGAGGACAUUACCUGGGGGCAAAAGGAGAGCUAUAAACCAAGGAACUCUGUGAAGUAUCACAAUAUGGGCUGGAAGGGUGACUGGAACUUGGUGAAACACUGUCGAGGGAGUUAGAGAAUGCUUCUUAAAGGGGACGGGGGUCUGGUAAGAUAAUUAAUGUACACUAACUGCGGGGGAUAGCUGGGUGACAUAGUCCCAGGCAGAAGGAGAUCAAGAGCAAAGUCAUGGGGAGGGGGCGACAACCCACUUAGUUGGGGAACUGCAAAGGAUUCUUUGAGGCCAAAAGGGGGACAGGGGUGAGGCAAGGAAAAUAAGGCUGGGAGGUGAGCAGGGCCUAGAUCAAGGAGCACUUUUGCUAAGGAGUUUUGAUUUGCUCCUUUAGGCCAUGGGAUACCACUGAGGAUUUUAAAUAGGUAAGAUAAAAUAUCUGAUUUGGAGGGAAAAGACCAUUCUGGAGGUGUGGACAAUGGGCUGGAGGUAGUAAGAACAGCAGAGAUUUUGAUAAUAGUCUCAGCUAGAGAAGAUGGAAGGUCUCAAAACAAAAAAGUCUGAGGGAGAUAGAGGAGAGAGAGAGAGAGAGAGAGAGAGAGAGAGAGAGAGUAUUGUGAGAUGAGAUGAUAAAUUAAGGUUUCUUGCUUUUCGGGUAACUUUAGUAUCAACUCUGGUCUCUUCCCUGACUCUCCACCCCUUCCCCUUGCAAUCCCCCCAUCCUGUAGUGGUUACAAAAGUGGAGACCCAUAAACCACGUUUGGAAGGAAGGCUGUCUCUUCACCUCACUCAUCCUUGCCAGGCAGCCACAUAGAACAAUGCACACCACAGAAGGGGAUAACUUCUCACUAACCCCAAGACAGAGAGAGCAGCACUCCAAAAGUGAAAAAUGGACUAAGGUGGUCCUCAGGUAGAUACCACCUUUCUUUUAUGUACCCAUUAUAAGAAACUUUGGGCACAUCCCUUGAACUUACUGUGCCUAAAUGUUCUCAUCUAUGAAACAGGAACGAGAAUAUCUGCGUUACGAAAUUGUUGGGUGGUAUUGAAUAAAAGGUAUAUUAAGCCCUGGCACAUA